rnacentral:rRNA from 1 species
GGUUACGUCAAGACCUACGGCUAUUAACCGUACGCUUUCUUCUCUACUGAAAGUGCUUUACAACCCGCAGGCCUUCUUCACACACGCGGCAUUGCUGGAUCAGGCUUGCGCCCAUUGUCCAAUAUUCCCC